AAAAAUCCAAGAAAACUCUUGAGCACAAAUAAGCACUACACAGUGUGUGUGAAAAUGGGGAGAUGUCUUCUUUCAUCCACAAUUUCUUCUUUGAGAAUUUGUCAGUUACCCAGAAUUCGUCUUCCUGCAUUUCCCAAGAGUUGUAGCACAAACUCACAAUAUGGGUUUUGUACAAGUUUGUCCACUAGUGGGGGAUUUUGCACCAAGGCUGCUUUAUCGGAGGUGGGUAUCAAGAAAGAGUACUCAAAGAUUGCUGCUGAUUCAACCGGAAGUAUCCCCUCCAGUGAGCUACUCCAAGUGGUUGAAGCUGCAGCCACGACUGGUGCUCAGGUUGUAAUGGAUGCUGUGAAUAAGCCCCGAAAUGUUACCUAUAAAGGGCUCACUGACCUAGUGACCGACACAGAUAAAAAUAGUGAAGUUGCUAUCCUUGAAGUCGUGAGGAAGAAUUUUCCAGAUCAUCUAAUUCUCGGGGAGGAAGGAGGAAUUAUUGGGGACUCGUCAUCUGAUUAUCUUUGGUGCAUCGAUCCUUUAGAUGGAACAACAAACUUUGCGCAUGGCUAUCCCAGCUUUGCAGUCUCUGUGGGUGUUCUUUUUAGAGGGAAGCCAGCUGCAGCUGCUGUGGUUGAGUUUGUUGGUGGCCCUAUGUGUUGGAAUACUCGAAUAUUUUCUGCAGCUGCAGGCAAAGGAGCCUUUGCUAAUGGUGAAAAGAUUCAUGUCAGUCGAACUGACAAGGUGGAACAAUCUCUUCUAGUGACUGGAUUUGGAUAUGAGCAUGAUGAUCCAUGGGCAACCAAUAUGGAAUUGUUCAAAGAAUUUACUGAUGUCAGCAGGGGUGUAAGAAGGCUUGGUGCUGCUGCAGUGGAUAUGUGUCAUGUUGCUUUGGGGAUUGCUGAAGCAUAUUGGGAAUAUCGUCUAAAGCCAUGGGACAUGGCUGCAGGAGUUCUGAUAGUUGAAGAGGCUGGAGGGACAGUUUCGUGUAUGGAUGGAGGAAGUUUUUCAGUAUUUGAUAGAUCUGUCUUGGUAUCCAAUGGUUUGCUCCAUGCAAAGCUCCUUGAGAAAAUUGGUCCAGCAACGGAAAAUUUGAAGAGCAAAGGGAUUGAUUUCUCAGUGUGGUUCAAGCCAGAAAAUUACCAUACAGAAGUUUGAUAUGUCCCUGCGUUUUGUUCUUUAGAUGUGCUGCUUGAAAGAUUCUUCUACAAUCAGAUUUUGAUUAGAAUCAGAUGCUUGUCCUGAGAUCCUGAUAGAAGAAGUCUUAUCAUACGGCAAGCUGCUGCUGCUGAGGAAUAUGGUGAUUUUAUUUAGUUAUGUCCAGAUCAGUCCUUAUCAAAUAUAUAUAUAUAUAUAUUCUCCCAUUUGCUAUUCAUAUUUCCAUAUUCCUUCUCAUCUUACAGAUUUCCUUGAGAUCAUAGCAUCAUAACCAAUGCAUGUUUUUUUCAUACUAAGUUAAAUAUUAUUUCAUAUUAA